AAAAAAAGACAAAGUUUCUUUCUUCAUCAAUUCAUCGACUACGGAAUCCAGAUUAUCAUUGAACUCUUUACUAUGUCGUUCCUUGAGCCCUAAAUAGUUAUUUGGGGACCGCCUCAAGAAAAUCCCCAAUCCCUGCUUUUUAUUUAUUUAUUUAUUUUAUCACACUCUUCUCACAACAAUCUCCAAGUUAGGUUUCUCUUUUGAUUUCUUGCUUAGGGUUUCUUGGUUGUGUCUUCAUUAGGGGCUAAUUUUGUGUUUCUUUACAAAUUUCCGUCGACGUCAGUUUUUCAUCUUUUCAUCUGGCCAAUGAUUUUUAGGCACAUGUUAUUAACGAUUUUGAGGGUGAGGUGGGAACGGGGAUUAGCCUACAAAUCAUGGAUUUCAACCCACACCACUCAUUUAAGUUAAUGUGUUAGACAAUAGAUACCUAUACAGAUGUAGAUAGUGGUGUUCAUCAGUUCGGUUUUGUAACAUCCGUUCUCUCGUACGAUCAAUAUUGUGUGUGUAUUUUGUCCACAAGAAGCUCAUGGACGUGUUAUUGGCUCUCCCAGUGGAGAUUUCCAAGGUGGUAACCUAUCCAGGUAUUACUCCCACCUAAGCAUGCUUAAUUGUGAAGUUCUCUCAUCCACAACCGACGCGAACAAAUCGUGUUGAUGAUAUUUGAGGCGGGACAAACUCAACUGAAAGUUAGCUCCAAAUCAAGAAUUCAAAACAUUGUUGGAGAUACCAUCCCUACAAAUUCUCAACUGGAAAAUCAUUCAGGUAGCCUAUUAGAAGUUUCCAUAUGCACGUUCUUCCUGUAUGUGUAUGGAACAUUUAUGACCAAUAAGAUCUCUAAACUUGUUUCGGAUGGUUUGAUCUUGUCGUCUAUUCCACAAGUCUGGAAUGGAAGAAGUGAGCAUUUGGGGAAUGACUUUUUGAGACUGCUGGAUUGCUUUACAACUGAUUUCCAUUCAAGAUCAUUCACUGGUCAGGAAGAGUCAGUCAGUCACAGAGUGGUCAAUGAAGAGUUGAUUUGUUCAAUUCGAAAAGCAAAUACUUCAUGGGAACAAGGAAAGUGUAGUAAUUAUAUAUGGCGUUUGGAUGAACAUACCUGGAUCCUAUGCAGUUAUUGCGGUUUCACGGGUCGGAUAACUGUAUUGAGAAUUCAUUUCUUGGAAAACUUGUAGCGCAAGAUCAGAGCGUUUCUUUUCACAAAGAACAUCAAUCAGCCAGUGAUAUGGCUUCAUUCAGCAUUCCCGCUUUUGCAUACGCUCUAAUUGAAGUUGAAAAGACUGAAUCUUGGCACUCGCAUGAAUCCUCUUUCAUCUGAUCAAUUACUUGUUUCAUAUCAGCGAUCCG